rnacentral:rRNA from 1 species
CUGCCCACGGGAGGCAGCAGUGGGGGAUAUUGCACAAUGGGGGGAACCCUGAUGCAGCGACGCCGCGUGGGUGAAGAAGCGCCUCGGCGCGUAAAGCCCUGUCAGCAGGGAAGAAAAUGACGGUACCUGAAGAAGAAGCCCCGGCUAACUACGUGCCAGCAGCCGCGGAAAUACGUAGGGGGCAAGCGUUAUCCGGAUUUACUGGGGGUAAAGGGGGGGCAGACGGCGCUGCAAGCCAGGAGUGAAAGCCCGGGGCCCAACCCCGGGACUGCUCUUGGAAAUGCG